GAUGAAGAACGCAGCGAAAUGCGAUAAGUAAUGUGAAUUGCAGAAUUCAGUGAAUCAUCGAAUCUUUGAACGCACCUUGCGCUCUUUGGUAUUCCGAAGAGCAUGCCUGUUUGAGUGUCAUGAAAAUAUCAACCUUGACUUGGGUUUUGUGCUCUAGUCUCGGCUUGGAAUUGGGUGCUUGCCGCUUUUACGAGCGGCUCACCUUGAAUGUAUUAGCUGGAUCUGUCUUUGAGACUUGGUUUGACUUGGCGUAAUAAGUAUUUCGCUAAGGACAUUCUUCGGAGUGGCCUCGUUUCUAGGACGCUUGUCCGCUUUCCAAUACAAGUUCCACCUCGUGGACAUGACUUUUUAUUAUCUGGCCUCAAAUCAGGUAGGACUACCCGCUGAACUUAAGCAUAUCAAUAAGCGGAGGA
rnacentral:misc_RNA from 1 species